GCCUGGCUGGCUCAGUCAGUUGAGCGUCCGACUUCAGCUCAGGUCAUGAUCUCACAGUCUGUGAGUUCGAGCCCCGCGUCGGGCU
rfam:Felis catus isolate Cinnamon breed Abyssinian chromosome E3, whole genome shotgun sequence.